rnacentral:rRNA from 1 species
AGUGAACGCUGGCGGUAGGCCUAACACAUGCAAGUCGAACGGCAGCACAGUAAGAGCUUGCUCUUACGGGUGGCGAGUGGCGGACGGGUGAGGAAUACAUCGGAAUCUACUUUUUCGUGGGGGAUAACGUAGGGAAACUUACGCUAAUACCGCAUACGACCUACGGGUGAAAGCAGGGGAUCUUCGGACCUUGCGCGAUUGAAUGAGCCGAUGUCGGAUUAGCUAGUUGGCGGGGUAAAGGCCCACCAAGGCGACGAUCCGUAGCUGGUCUGAGAGGAUGAUCAGCCACACUGGAACUGAGACACGCUCCAGACUCCUACGGGAGGCAGCAGUGGGGAAUAUUGGACAAUGGGCGCAAGCCUGAUCCAGCCAUACCGCGUGGGUGAAAAAGGCCUUCGGGUUGUAAAGCCCUUUUGUUGGGAAAGAAAAGCAGCAGGUUAAUACCCCGCUGUUCUGACGGUACCCAAAGAAUAAGCACCGGCUAACUUCGUG